GCCACUGCUAUUGGGAUCCGACUAAGCCAUGCGAGUCGAGAGGGUUCGGCCCUCGGCAGACUGCUCAGUAACACGUGGAUAACCUACCCUCAGGCGGAGAAUAACCUCGGGAAACUGAGAAUAAUACUCCAUAGAUCUAGGAUGCUGGAAUGCACCUAGAUUGAAAGCUCUGGCGCCUAAGGAUGGGUCUGCGGACUAUCAGGUUGUAGUCAGGGUAAAGACCUGACUAGCCUACGACGGAUAUGGGUUGUGAGAGCAAUAGCCCAGAGACGAUAUCUGAGACACGAUAUCGGGCCCUACGGGGCGCAGCAGGCGCGAAAUCUUCACAAUGUGCGAAAGCACGAUGAGGGGAUCCCAAGUGCUGGCACGUAAGUGUCAGCUGUUUCUUUGUCUAAAAAACAAAGAGAGUAAGAGCUGGGUAAGACGGGUGCCAGCCGCCGCGGUAAUACCUGCAGCUCAAGUGGCGGCCGCUAUUAUUGGGCCUAAAACGUCCGUAGCCGGUUUAGUAAAUGCUUGGGUAAAUUGUGUAGCUUAACUAUACGAAUACCGGGUAGACUGCUAAACUUGGGACCGGGAGAGGCUAGAGGUACUCCUAGGGUAGAGGUGAAAUUCUGUAAUCCUAGGGGGACCACCAGUGGCGAAGGCGUCUAGCUAGAACGGGUCUGACGGUGAGGGACGAAGCCCUGGGGCGCAAACCGGAUUAGAUACCCGGGUAGUCCAGGGUGUAAACGCUGCUUGCUUGAUGUUAGUUGGGCUCCCA
rnacentral:rRNA from 1 species